UCUUUGCUAGUAUAUCGGUUAGUACACGCGCUUGUCAUUCUAUGAUCACCAAAGGUGUGCGCGCGAAAGCUGGGUUCGACUCCCAGGCAGAGAG